CGGGGACAACUAUUGGAAACGAUAGCUAAUACCGGAUAACAGCAUAAAUCGCAUGAUAUAUGUUUAAAAGUUGGUUUCGGCUAACACUAUGAGAUGGCUUUGCGGUGCAUUAGCUAAUUGGUGGGGUAAAGGCCUACCAAGGCGACGAUGCAUAGCCGACCUGAGAGGGUGAUCGGCCACACUGGGACUGAGACACGGCCCAGACUCCUACGGGAGGCAGCAGUAGGGAAUCUUCCGCAAUGGGCGAAAGCCUGACGGAGCAACGCCGCGUGAGUGAAGAAGGAUUUCGGUUCGUAAAGCUCUGUUGUUAGGGAAGAAUGAUUGUAUAGUAACUAUAUACAGUAGAGACGGUACCUAACCAGAAAGCCACGGCUAACUACGUGCCAGCAGCCGCGGUAAUACGUAGGUGGCAAGCGUUGUCCGGAAUUAUUGGGCGUAAAGCGCGCGCAGGUGGUUUAAUAAGUCUGAUGUGAAAGCCCACGGCUCAACCGUGGAGGGUCAUUGGAAACUGUUAAACUUGAGUGCAGGAGAGAAAAGUGGAAUUCCUAGUGUAGCGGUGAAA
rnacentral:rRNA from 1 species